UUUUCUUUUUGGGGUGCUUUAUUCGUGCUUCAUUACGUAUUUCUCUAUUUGACACAGACAUAGCUAAGAUAGCUCCCUCUUACAAACAAAACUAGGGUUUCCAAGAUUCCUCCCUAAACUCCAAAUCCCUAGCUGAAAAGCCUUGCAAUAAUGGGGUUUCACUUGGUUCUAGUAGUAGUAGCAAAGCUCAAACUCUUGAGCGCAGGUCAUCACAUGUGCUUAAGCACUCCAAUAAUGGCCAGCUUAGUAGGCCCUUUUUUGCUCAAGUUCAUCUUCACUACUUUCAAACCUCUUCAUCAGGUUUUCAUCAAUGCAGCCUAUUCUUCCAGAUUGUUCAUCUUUCAGAUGGGCCAGAUAACCUUCAGUUCCCAGCCACCAGGAUUCACUAACGGCGCCAACACCAGGUGGCAGCGGGCUCUCCGGUUGGUGAGCGAGAGAUUGAUUCUUGCUCGGCAGUCGCAGACCACAGAUUCUGAAGAGGAGAGUAUCCGUGCUAUCUCAGUUCUAGCCCUCUAAGCUCUCAGACAGAUGUCUUGAAAAAUCUCUUAUUAACUUGUGGAUUUUCCUUCUUUGAGGAUCAACACAAAGAACAAAUUCAUGAGUGCUAUAUGAAACAGGUUUGUAUAACUGGUAUGCAAUUGGUGAAGAGAUGCUUAUGUGUUAGUAUUUAUAAAAGUGCUAUAUGAAACAGGUUUGUAUGCAAUUGGUGAAGAGAUGCUUCUGUGUUAGUAUUUAUAAAAAUUGUCAUUAAAACUUGAAAGUGUCCGAUGUAAAAUAAAUGUGAGCAUGUAUUUUUACAAUAACAUGGGAUUCGAGGCAUCUAAUUAAGUUGCUA